rnacentral:rRNA from 1 species
AGUGAACGCUGGCGGUAGGCCUAACACAUGCAAGUCGAACGGCAGCACAGAGGAGCUUGCUCCUUGGGUGGCGAGUGGCGGACGGGUGAGGAAUAUAUCGGAAUCUACUCUGUCGAGGGGGAUAACGUAGGGAAGCUUACGCUAAUACCGCAUACGACCUACGGGCGAAAGCAGGGGACCUUCGGGCCUUGCGCGAUUGAAUGAGCCGAUGUCGGAUUAGCUAGUUGGCGGGGUAAAGGCCCACCAAGGCGACGAUCCGUAGCUGGUCUGAGAGGAUGAUCAGCCACACUGGAACUGAGACACGGUCCAGACUCCUACGGGAGGCAGCAGUGGGGAAUAUUGGACAAUGGGCGCAAGCUUGAUCCAGCCAUACCGCGUGGGUGAAGAAGGCCUUCGGGUUGUAAAGCCCUUUUGUUGGGAAAGAAAUCCAGCUGGCUAAUACCCGGUUGGGAUGACGGUACCCAAAGAAUAAGCACCGGCUAACUUCGUGCCAGCCGCCGCUGUAA